GGGAGCUGGACAGUGACGGGCUAACGUGCUGUAGCAGAGACAGCAUCGGGUCCGCAGGGGAGUGGAUUUAGUGUGGGACUGGUGAACGGCGACCUACCGAGCAACGGAACUGUAAGUCAGACUUUUGUGCUCUUACUGGGGAGAAGAGGAUUUUUCUCCAUCGUCCAGCGUGAGCAGCAAACAGGCCUGCAACAAGUGUGAAUCAAACGAGAGCAUCUGUGGCUCAUCAGCUCAUCAUCCUGCAGUGCAUGUGGACUGGCUCUCCAGCUAUUCUCCGCCAGCCAAGCUUCUACACUCCAGCACCUCUUCAGUAACAUUUACCUGCCUGCCCCGCCACACUCUCUCUGCCUCCACCAUCAGCUGCAUGCCAGCUCUGAUCAUUCUGCUCUGGUUUUCCCUGCCUUCUCAUCCUGCAUGCUCCAUCUCAAAAGACUCGUCACAUCCAAACCCGACUACUUGUGUUCACAAUAACGCCCUUUCUGAAUCAUUGCCGGCCUGAUUGUGCAUGAUCUGGCUUUGCCAGAAAUUUUAUUUAUUUUCAACAGCCGACCCCAACUCAGUGAUUUUGUUUGUAUCUUCUCAGUGAAAUUACAGUUUGUUUUCUCUGGGAGCUGCUGUUAUGUAUUAAUAACUUUCACUGGAUAGCCAAUCAAAAACCACCAUGCCGUCAGCGUCACAAUGUUAGCAAGAAGCCAGA
ensembl:lncRNA